GGACUCGGAGGCGGCGGGGGAUUUGGAGGCGGCUUUGGUCGUUAAACCCCGAAGCCAGACGAGCCUUCGGCGCAACUUCUGCAACAUUCGGCGAAUGUAAUUGGUAAUAAACAAAAAACAAC